rnacentral:rRNA from 1 species
AUGGCCAUGCUCGUGCUCGCGCUGCUGCCCCUGCUCGCCGCGUCCGCGUCCGCGGCGGGCGGCUGCGCGGCCGACGCGUCAUUGUCGUCGCCCAACGGAAACGCCUACGCGGCCUGCAGCGACCUGCCCCGCCUCGGCGCCACGGUGCACUGGACCUACGACCGCGCCGCGGGGUCCCUCUCCGUCGCGUUCGUCGCCGCGCCGGCCGCCCCGGGCGGGUGGGUGGCGUGGGGGCUCAACCCGUACGGCGAAGGCAUGGCCGGCGCGCAGGCGCUCCUCGCCGCGCCUUCUUCCUCGUCCGGCGCGUGGGCCGUCCGGACGUACAACAUCUCCGGCUACGCGCUCGGCGCGCCCGGGCCCAUCGCGUUCCCCGCGACGGGCCUCGCCGCGGAGAUGGGCACCGACGGCCGCGUCAGGGUCUCCGGGACGCUGAGCGUGGGCCAGGGCGCGUCCGUCCUGAACCAGGUGUGGCAGGUCGGGUCCGCCGUCUCCGUAGACGGCGUUCCCGCGCCGCACGCCAUGGGCGGCGACAACCUCGCCGCCAAGGCGAAGCUAGAUCUGGUCAGGCAGACCAGCACCUCCUCCGACUCCGGCGGCAGCGGCCUCGCCAGGGAGCGCAAUAUCCAUGGUGUCCUCAACGCCGUGAGCUGGGGCCUGCUGCUGCCCAUGGGAGCCAUCUUCGCGAGGUACCUCAAGACGUUCAGGUCGGCGGACCCCGCGUGGUUCUACCUCCACGUGACCUGCCAGAUCAUCGGCUACGCCGUGGGGGUCGCCGGCUGGGCCACCGGCAUCAACCUCGGCAAUGCGUCCAACGGCGUCACCUACGGUCUCCACCGCAGCAUCGGCAUCGCCGUCUUCGCCCUCGCCACCCUACAAGUAAUCAUCUAUCUAACCAACACUUCCCAAAUUCAAAUUGAACUCGAUCGUACCGAUGCUAAAUUUCGUUCAAACUUGAACGGCGUCCAGGCAUUUGCCCUGUUCCUGAGGCCGAGGAAGGAUCACAAGUGCCGCGUGUACUGGAACGUGUACCACCACUCCGUGGGCUACGCCGUCAUCAUCCUCGGCAUCCUCAACAUCUUCAAGGGCAUGGCGAUCCUGGGCGUGGAGCAGCGGUGGAGGACCGCCUACGUCGCGGCCGUGUGGGUGCUCGGCGCGGUGGCGGUGACGCUGGAGGCGGUCACGUGGAGCGUGGUCAUCAGGCGCCGCGAGGCCGAGCAGCACGGCAAGACCUUCCACGGCGCCGCCUAA